rnacentral:rRNA from 1 species
AUUGAACGCUGGCGGCAUGCCUUACACAUGCAAGUCGAACGGCAGCACGGGAGCAAUCCUGGUGGCGAGUGGCGAACGGGUGAGUAAUAUAUCGGAACGUGCCCAGUAGUGGGGGAUAGCCCGGCGAAAGCCGGAUUAAUACCGCAUGAGACCUGAGGGUGAAAGCGGGGGAUCGCAAGACCUCGCGCUAUUGGAGCGGCCGAUGUCAGAUUAGCUAGUUGGUGGGGUAAAGGCCCACCAAGGCAACGAUCUGUAGUUGGUCUGAGAGGACGACCAGCCACACUGGGACUGAGACACGGCCCAGACUCCUACGGGAGGCAGCAGUGGGGAAUUUUGGACAAUGGGCGCAAGCCUGAUCCAGCAAUGCCGCGUGCAGGAAGAAGGCCUUCGGGUUGUAAACUGCUUUUGUCAGGGAAGAAAUCCUCUGGGCUAAUACCUCGGGGGGAUGACGGUACCUGAAGAAUAAGCACCGGCUAACUACGUGCCAGCAGCCGCAGUAACAC